rnacentral:misc_RNA from 1 species
UACGGAGGAUCCAAGCGUUAUCCGGAAUCAUUGGGUUUAAAGGGUCCGUAGGCGGGUUAAUAAGUCAGUGGUGAAAGUCUGCAGCUCAACUGUAGAAUUGCCAUUGAUACUGUUAACCUUGAGUAAUUAUGAAGUGGUUAGAAUAUGUAGUGUAGCGGUGAAAUGCGUAGAGAUCUGGAGGAAUACCGGUGGCGAAGGCGGCCCCCUGGACAAAGACUGACGCUGAGGCACGAAAGCUAGGGGAGCGAACGGG